rnacentral:rRNA from 1 species
UACAGAGGGGGCAAGCGUUGUUCGGAAUUACUGGGCGUAAAGGGCUCGUAGGUGGCCAACUAAGUCGGAUGUGAAAUCCCCAGGCUCAACUUGGGAACUGCAUCCGAUACUGGAUGGCUUGAAUCCGGGAGAGGGAUGCAGAAUUCCAGGUGUAGCGGUGAAAUGCGUAGAUAUCUGGAGGAACACCGGUGGCGAAGGCGGCAUCCUGGACCGGUAUUGACGCUGAGGCGCGAAAGCUAGGGGAGCAAACGGG